AACAAAUGUGAAUUUCAUGAUUGGGCUGCAAGGGAAUGUAAAAAUGUCUCAAAACAUGAAAAGCGACCUUGCAAAAUGUUCACCCUUGUUUAAGCAAAGGGUGUAGAGGUCUCCUCUUUAUCUCUCUCACCCUCUUCUUAUUAUGUCCCUCAUGUUUGUUACACCUGCAUGAGCCACACCCACUUCACCAAAUGGGGUGGCUGCAAUCCCUCAUCUCUCCACUCAAGAAGCUUUGGUUCCGGAUGCAUUCAACUCAAAAGAAGAGAAGAGGCAUAUACAUUCUAUAUGAAGAUGUCAAAUCUUGCCCCUAUGAAGACGUCCACGUCCUCUGGUCAAUACUAGUGGAAUCUCACUCCUCUUUGCCAUUGAAAAGAUGAGGGCUAUGCACAAAACAGAAUCGUAAUGUACAUAUAUAAACUAUUUAUGAUGUCCAUACAGAGUGUCUUUUUUUAACUUUUGUAGCAUCACACAUAGAAUGAUACUCCUCCUCUGUUUCUUUUUUUUUUCUUGUCUUAUGAAGCAUCCGUGAAGAGCUUAUCUAAACAUCCAUCUUUUUUUCUGCUUAAAUGCUUCCAAAACCUGUAGGAGGAGGGGAGUAACCCAGUAAGAAAAUUUUAGCUUUGAAAUACAAAUUAAAGAAGUCCUCAAUAAGGGGUUUUAUUGGUAAGCUGUCUAUUUUAAGCUGUUGUUGAAAUGGUAGCUUGUUCCCUUAUUUUCCUUAUUGAUGUUGAUAUUUGAAAGCUAUGUGGAAUGGAUAGCCAACCUACAAUCAAACAUGUGUACUGCACGGGAAUAAAUGUUAAUUUGCACAUACUCGU
rnacentral:sRNA from 1 species